AUUGAACGCUGGCGGCAGGCCUAACACAUGCAAGUCGAACGAGUGGCGGACGGGUGAGUAAUGUCUGGGAAACUGCCUGAUGGAGGGGGAUAACUACUGGAAACGGUAGCUAAUACCGCAUACCAUCAGAUGUGCCCAGAUGGGAUUAGCUUGUUGGUGGGGUAACGGCUCACCAAGGCGACGAUCCCUAGCUGGUCUGAGAGGAUGACCAGACAAACUGGAACUGAGAAACGGGCCAGACUCCUAAGGGAGGCAGCAGUGGGGAAUAUUGCAAAAUGGGCGGAAGCCUGAUGCAGCCAUGCCGCGGGUAUGAAGAAGGCCCUCGGGUUGGAAAGUACUUUCAGCGGGGAGGCGGUACCCGCAGAAGAAGCACCGGCUAACUCCGUGCCAGCAGCCGCGGUAAUUC
rnacentral:rRNA from 1 species